rnacentral:rRNA from 1 species
GACCUUAUCAGAUUCCACCACCUCUGUGAACCGUUGACCUCCGGGUUAAUAAUCAAACAUCAGUGUAACGAACGUAAGAGUAUCUUAACGAAACAAAACUUUCAACAACGGAUCUCUUGGCUCUCGCAUCGAUGAAGAACGCAGCGAAAUGCGAUAAGUAAUGUGAAUUGCAGAAUCCAGUGAAUCAUCGAAUCUUUGAACGCACCUUGCGCCUUUUGGUAUUCCGAAAGGCAUGCCUGUUUCAGUGUCAUGAAAUCUCAAUCUAAUAUGUUUUCUGAACAUGUUAGACUUGGACUUGGGCGUCUGCCAGUGAUGGCUCGCCUCAAAUGACUUAGCGGAACAUCCCACAUCAGUGUUAGACGUAAUAAGUUUCGUCUCUCCUUGUGGUGAUGACUGCUCAGAACCUGCCAUCGCGCACUUUUGACUUUGACCUGAAAUCAGGUAGGGCUACCCGCUGAACUUAAGCAUAUCAAUAAGCGGAGGAAAAGAAACUAACAAGGAUUCCCCUAGUAACGGCGAGUGAACCGGGAAGAGCUCAAAUUUGAAAUCUGGCGUGCUCAGUGCGUCCGAGUUGUAAUCUAUAGAGGCGUUUUCCGUGCCGGACUGUGUCUAAGUCCCUUGGAACAGGGUAUCAAAGAGGGUGAUAAUCCCGUACUUGACACAAUGACCGGUGCUCUGUGAUACGUCUUCUACGAGUCGAGUAGUUUGGGAAUGCAGCUCAAAAUGGGUGGUGAGUUCCAUCUAAAGCUAAAUAUUGGCGAGAGACCGAUAGCGAACAAGUACCGUGAGGGAAAGAUGAAAAGCACUUUGGAAAGAGAGUUAAACAGUACGUGAAAUUGUUGAAAGGGAAA